rnacentral:lncRNA from 1 species
AUGUUUCUUCGUAUUUUCCCAAACGUGCACACAUUCAGCAUGUUGGUAAAUGCAUUCUGCAAGAAAGGGAUGGUUGAAGAUGCUGUACAAGUUUUACAGCUAAUGAUCCAAAGAGGUCAAAAGCCAGAUGCAAUUACCUACAAUGCGAUAAUGAUAUAGCAUUGUCGUAGAUGCGCUUUGCAAAGACAAGAUGGUAGGUGCUGCUUUCAACCUUUUCAAUGAAAUGAAACGGGAAGGCAUUACUCCCAACGUACUUACAUAUAGUUCAUUGAUUGAUGGUUUGUGUAAGUUGGAUCAGUGGGAUACGGUCAGGCUUCUUUUGGAUGAGAUGAUGUUUCUUCAUAUUUUCCCAAAUGUGCACACAUUCAGUAUGUUGGUAGAUGCAUUCUGCAAGAAAGGGAUGGUUGAAGAUGCUGUACAAGUGUUACAGCUAAUGAUCCAAAGAGGUCAAAAGCCAGAUGCAAUUACCUACAAUGCGAUAAUGGAAGGGUAUUGUUUGCGCGCCGAAAUAGAUGUAGCAAGGAGAGUUUUUGACUCUAUGAUUGAUUCUGACAUCAAGCCUGACAUCUUUAGUUACAACAUAUUAAUCAAUGGAUAUUGCA